UACGGGGGGGCUAGCGUUGCUCGGAAUGACUGGGCGUAAAGGGCGCGUAGGCGGCUUGCACCGUCAGAUGUGAAAUUCCUGGGCUUAACCUGGGGGCUGCAUUUGAUACGUGUGGGCUUGAGUGCGGAAGAGGGUCGUGGAAUUCCCAGUGUAGAGGUGAAAUUCGUAGAUAUUGGGAAGAACACCGGUGGCGAAGGCGGCGACCUGGUCCGUGACUGACGCUGAGGCGCGAAAGCGUGGGGAGCAAACAGG
rnacentral:rRNA from 1 species